UUGCAGCUUUCCUAACUGGAAUUAGGACUGUAAUUACUCCUGGUGGUUUUUGUGACCCAGAAGAUUCAAGAAAAUUUGAAGCUGUAGGAUCUUUGGAAGCCAAAAGAAUCUUUGAGGGCUGCCAUGUAGAUGAAUCCUAUCAUCUUGAUUGGACCCCAAAUUUCUCACCAUGUGCCUCUUAACUACAGUAUAUAUGGCUGCUUCUGAAGAUGGCACAAUUAAGAAGAUGACUAUUUUAAUUGAGGAGCUACUGAAUAAAGCUGUGAUUCUUUACUUUUGGGGAAGUUUUUUCUGUUUUUGUUUGUUUGUUUGUUUUUUGUUUGUUUGUUUUUGCUUCUGGACAUUUGCUUUCCUUUCAAUAAACCGCUGUUCCUCUGGAAUACAAAAGAAAGGAUUGUAAUGGUAAGUGGAAUAGCCUCCCAUCUAUUUCCUCAUCUACAUUCCUAAACUGCAGUGCAAUUGGUUGAUAUCUAAUUGGCUUGUAAGUAAUACUGCUGGUUACAUUAUGUUAUGCUAUUUCAGAUAUAUAUCAGUUCUUGUUAUGGUCCUCUCUAUCGUUACUGAGUUUAGAAAAUUGUUUUGGCUGCCCAUUUCUUAGAGUAUGCAAAUCAUAGAUCUAUGGCUUGAAAAGAUUCAUUUCAUCAUGGUCAUCCUUUGGCGUAUACAGGUCUUUUUUCCCUGGCUCCUAUAUGGUCUGAGAAAAUAAAACUGCUCAUCAUGUAUCGAGUGAAAAGGAAAUAAUCAGCUUGAAACAAAAUUGACUCAAUUUGUAAUUUUUUUCUUUACCAUAAUUUUAUAUCAUUUUGCAAGUUAAAGUUUACCUUAUAAUCUUUUAUAGGCUUUUAUAAUAAUAUGAAUGAAUCAUAAUAUGCUAGCAAGUUAUAGUAAAAUAACUAAAAUAACUAAAGAGUUAUGAUGAAAACAAGCAGAAAUUUGCCCUACCCUUUCCCAGUUCUCCUUUUUAAAGACCAUCAUUCCCUCUUUUAACUACUUCUCUUAACAUUUAUCUCUGAUAAUUUGCUUAGGCCACAAUGUCUUUAUCACUUUUGACUUUCUAUAUCUGCCACUUCUCC
rnacentral:lncRNA from 1 species